rnacentral:rRNA from 1 species
AGAGUUUGAUCAUGGCUCAGGAUGAACGCUAGCUACAGGCUUAACACAUGCAAGUCGAGGGGCAGCAUGUUGGUUGCUUGCAACCAAUGAUGGCGACCGGCGCACGGGUGAGUAACGCGUAUCCAACCUACCCUUGUCCAUCGGAUAACCCGUCGAAAGGCGGCCUAACACGAUAUGCGGUUCACAGCAGGCAUCUAAGGUGAACGAAAUGUGAAGGAGAAGGAUGGGGAUGCGUCUGAUUAGCUUGGUUGGCGGGGUAACGGCCACCAAGGCUACGAUCAGUAGGGUUCUGAGAGGAAGUCCCCCANAUUGGAACUGAGACACGGUCCAAACUCCUACGGGAGGCA